rnacentral:miRNA from 1 species
ACAGGGAGGAGAUUGUA